UGAGCCCAUGCCAUAGCUGACCUUGCACACAUUCAGGGAGGAGCAUCCACGCCAAGCCGAGCAGAACCGGGAACCAUGGGAAGAUGGAAGAAAGUGAAAAGAAACAGGGAUUUGAUUUCAGGACAGCGUCUUGACCGAAACGUCAUUUGCUUAUGGAAUUUCAUGUUGGGUCCCAGUGGAGGAAACCACUUGCACUCCCAAGGAAUUCUGGGAAUAUAUCUGCUCAAGCUGAUCAUCCUGCAGAGGAAAAGAAAGAAAAGGCAGAAGCUUGGGUAGCCAACUGGGAGGUGCUGCUGCCCCAUUCUCCGGAGAGAAGACCUGGGUAGGCAGCCUGUGGCCUGUCCCCAUGGUGUGAGUACUAACCACAGCAAACCCUAAACCCCCAGCGCAGCAUUCCUCCACUCUACAGCAGGCUGAGCUGGUCUGCAACACAUCUUCAGCUCACCAUCAGAUUCUGUAUCACAAGUGAGCAGUUCUGGCUCACCCCCCCUUCUUGUUUUCCUUACUUGUGUAUAUACGUUUGUAAAAGGAGAGACCCGGCUCUGAAGUGACAGCCAUCGUGUGGCUAUCAAGAUUCCAGGACCAAGGUAAGGACAGCUUUAGAAUACAAGCAUUGUUUCGUAUUUGUUUCUGUCCUUGCAAAACAACUCGAGAACUUGACCCACAUUAUAGAAGCUUUUGUGCCUAUGAGCAAAAGGUAUCUUGCUGAUGACAAAUUCAAUAUAUGUGUAACUGGAAGGGCUUGGUUGGGGGCAGAUUCAUGGUGGCUCUGUGGGCUUCUGUGGGCCUCUGUAGGCAACAGAGAGGCCAAGACCAUGUGGGUCAGAACAGUGGGAACACUUUUGCCUUCUCCUGAGCUUUGUGCCUUUUGCAAGUUCAUUUUUC
rnacentral:lncRNA from 1 species